rnacentral:rRNA from 1 species
UACGAAGGGGGCUAGCGUUGCUCGAAUCGACUGGGCGUAAAGCGCACGUAGGCGGCUUUUAAGUCAGGGGUGAAAUCCGUGGAGCUCAACUCCAGAACUGCCUUUGAAUACUGAGAAGCUUGAGUCCGGGGGAGGUGAGUGGAACCGUGCGAGUGUAGAGGUGAAAUUCGUAGAUAUCGAAGGAAGAACCAGCCCGUGGCUAAGGCGGCUCUCUAGACGGUACUGGACGCUGAAGACGCGGAAAGCGUAGGGAGCGAACAGG